AAUUAGUUUUAUUCUUGCUAAUUUAUUUGCUUUAAAAUUAUUUUAUAUGUAAGUUUUUGCGUGGAUUAUGUAUUUUAUUUAUCUAGAUGAUUAUUUAUUUUUUUAUUUUUCGCAGUAAUGAAUUUUAUAAAUUUAUGUAAAUUUGAUUUGGUAAUUUUUAUUUAUUAUUGGUAAAAUUUGUGCCAGCAUCCGCGGUUAUACAAUGGAUAUUAGUGAAUAUUUUUGGUUAAAGUAGUUGAAAAUUAUUGUAUUAUGAAGUUAUUAUUUUAUUUUUAGGUGAAAUUUUAAUUUUUUCUAUAACUUUAUUUUGUUUUGAGGCUAUAAAAUCUUUAAUUUUAAACUAGGAUUAGAUACCCUAUUAUUUUAGAUAUAAAUUAUUUUAACCUAGGUAGUAUUAGUUAAGGUCUUGAAACUUAAAGAAUUUGGCGGUAUUUUAGUCUAUUUAGAGGAAUCUGUCCCUUGAUCGAUAAUCCGCGUUUUACCUUACCAAGUUUAUUGUAUGUAUACCGCCGUUAUAAUGAGAAUCUUUUUAGGGUUAAUUAAUUUUCUUGAAUUGUUUUUAAAAUUUAUUUCAGGUCAAGGUGCAGCUUAUAAUUUGGUGGAGAUGGAUUACAUUUAUAUUUAUUAUUGGAUUAUUUAUUGGAAUUUUAAUAUGAAAUUGGAUUUAAUUGUAAUUUUUUGAAGAUUGUGAAGAUGAUAUUAGCUCUAUAAUAUGUACACAUCGCCCGUCGCUCUCAUUAUUAAUUAGUUGAGAUAAGUCGUAACAUAGUGGUUGUACCGGAAGGUGUAGCUAGAAUGAA
rnacentral:ncRNA from 1 species